AUUGAACGCUGGCGGCAUGCCUUACACAUGCAAGUCGAACGGCAGCACGGGAGCAAUCCUGGUGGCGAGUGGCGAACGGGUGAGUAAAGUAUCGGAACGUGCCCAGUCGUGGGGGAUAACGUAGCGAAAGUUACGCUAAUACCGCGUACGAUCUAUGGAUGAGAGCGGGGGAUCGCAAGACCUCGCGCGAUUGGAGCGGCCGAUAUCAGAUUAGGUAGUUGGUGGGGUAAAGGCUCACCAAGCCGACGAUCUGUAGCUGGUCUGAGAGGACGACCAGCCAAACUGGGACUGAGACACGGCCCAGACUCCUACGGGAGGCAGCAGUGGGGAAUUUUGGACAAUGGGCGCAAGCCUGAUCCAGCCAUGCCGCGUGCAGGAUGAAGGCCUUCGGGUUGUAAACUGCUUUUGUACGGAACGAAAAGGUUUGACUUAAUACGUUGGACUCAUGACGGUACCGUAAGAAUAAGCACCGGCUAACUACGUGCCAGCCGCCGCCGUAA
rnacentral:rRNA from 1 species